AAAUUUUUCUAUGACUAUAGAUUUUUUUCGUUUCUGGUUCAGAAAGCUUUUGAUUAAUUUGGGCUUUAAUGUAUUUCAAAGUAAAAUUACAUGUUAAUACGUAGUAUUAAUGGCGAGACUCCUGAGGGAGCAGUGCCAGUCGAAGACAGGGGCCCCAACACAGAAGCUGACAUAUAGUCAGCUUACAACAAUGUGCC
rnacentral:sRNA from 1 species